rnacentral:lncRNA from 1 species
UUUGCCAUGAAAGAAAGUACAUUCCCGAAUACAUAUGUCACAUAAACAUAAGGGAACACUUUAAAAUAUGCAUAUUAGUAAGUUUACAAAUCCAAAAGGAAACAUUGUAUUAAGAUACAUUUAGGGUCUCCAAAUUGUCGAGGAGCUAUACCCAAAAAAACAAAAGAAUUUCUAACUAAUUCAACUCAUUCUUCAAAAUAUUGAAGUUCCAAAAGAUGGUUCCCUGUAAGG